GUGCUCACUUCGGCAGCACAUAUAGUAAAAUUGGAAUGAUACAGAGAAGAUUAGCAUGGCCCCCACACAAGGAUGACACACAAAUUUGUGAAGCAUUCCAUAUUUUU
ensembl:snRNA U6 U6 spliceosomal RNA